rnacentral:misc_RNA from 1 species
GAUGAAGAAACGCAGCGAAAUGCGAUAAGUAAUGUGAAUUGCAGGAUUCAGUGAAUCAUCGAAUCUUUGAACGCACAUUGCGCCCGGUAGUAUUCUGCCGGGCAUGCCUGUUCGAGCGUCAUUUCAACCAUCAAGCCCCAGCGCUUGUGUUGGGGGCCUGCGGCUGCCGCAGCCCCCUAAAAGCAGUGGCGGGCUCGCUAUCACACCGAGUGCAGUAGUUCAUCUUCUCUCCGGUCUUGUGAGGCGGGUUCCGGCCGUGAAACACCCCACUACAUUCAAGGUUGACCUCGGAUCAGGUAGGAAUACCCGCUGAACUUAAGCAUAUCAAUAAGCGGAGGA